AUGUUUUGGAAAAAGCAAGCUUCUCAUUUCGAUUCAGAUGCUGAGCAGAGACAAGCAAAGAUCAAGGAACUGAGAGCUGCUCUUGGGUCUUUAUCUGUCCGUGGAGAGAAAUAUUGCGAUGAAGCAUGCUUGAUAAGAUACCUCGACGCCCGCAACUGGAAUGUUGACAAGUCUAGGAAAAUGCUGAAAGAAAGUCUCAAGUGGAGGGCAACUAAGAGACCUGAGGAUAUUCGUUGGCCUUAUGUUUCUGUGGAAGCAGAAAUAGGUAAAAUGUACAAGGCAACUUUCACAAAUAGAGAGGGUAGAACUGUGGUCGUAAUGAGACCGGCAAAGCAGAAUACAUCGUCUCACGAAAGGCAGUUGCAGUAUCUUAUAUAUACCUUGGAGAAUGCAGUUCUCAGCCUGCCUGAAGGUCAUGCCAAAAUGGUGUGGCUGAUAGACUUCACAGGAUGGACACUGGCCCAUGCAACCCCCUUCAAGGCUGCCAGAGACGGUAUGAAUGUCCUGCAAAACCAUUACCCAAAGAGGCUUUCAAUUGCAUUUCUGUUCAAUCCGCCUCUUCUCAAAGUACUGGUUGACCUGAAAUCAGCCCAGAAAUUGAACUUCGUGUACAAGGAGAACAAAGAGAGCAUGAAGACAAUGUACAACCAUAUUGAUCCAGAAAUCCUUCCUAUGGAGUUUGGAGGGAAGAACAAUGUCAUGUACAACCAUGAAGAUUACUCUAAGUUGAUGACAAAGGAUGACAUCAAAACAGCAAGCUUUUGGGCAGCAGAUGUUAACCCUGUCGCCAAAGUGGACUGGGUUCCUAAGGUUAAACCGCAGUCAUCACUAAUUGUUGCUAAAGCAAGUUGA
rnacentral:rRNA from 1 species